AUUAAUGGUUAUCCGAUAAAAAUAUGAAACUAAUUAAAUGUUCACUAUAUAUUAAUUUAUGAAGAAUUGAGAAUUAAAGUGCAUCCAAAUAUAAUAUGAGUAAUUACUUCGCAUGCUACUUAAAUAUUUUUCCCUUGGAAAGUAUUUCCAAGGACAUCCCCUUUUUGAACAUAUACAACUCUCAUGAUGACUUUUACAUUACUGUCCAUAGAGUCUGAGACCAACUGAAUCAGAUAAAUAAUUCAUUCAACUUUAAUCUCCACUUUCUGCUUUUCUCUUCAAAUUAUUUAUUUAUUUUUAUUAAACAGUGACAAGUUGGUUACACUGACCGGACCCCUUGUUACUCUCGGGUAAUUAUUUAUUUAUUUAUUACACAGUGACAAGUUGAUUACACUGACCGGACCUCUUGCAGUCUUGCUACUCUCGGGUGGCUGGCCUGUAAAAUGUCAUCCGGACCCCUUGUCACUACCGGGUGGUUGGCCUGUGAUAUGUCAUCUGGACCCCUUGUACCACUCGGGCGCCUGGCCUGUAAAAUGUCCUCUGGACCCCUCGUCACUAUCGGGUGGUUGGCCCGUGAUAUGUCAUCCGGACCCCUUGUACCACUCGGGCGCCUGGCCUAUAAAAUGUCAUCUGGACCCCUUGAACCACUCGGGGGGUGCCUGUAAAGUUUCUUUACGACCCCUAUACUCUAUAUUAUUUAUA
rnacentral:lncRNA from 1 species